rnacentral:rRNA from 1 species
GUGAGGAAUAUUGGUCAAUGGGCGCAAGCCUGAACCAGCCAUGCCGCGUGCAGGAUGAAGCAUCUAUGGUGUGUAAACUGCUUUUGUACGAGAAGAAACACUCCUUCGUGAAGGAGCUUGACGGUAUCGUAAGAAUAAGGACCGGCUAACUCCGUGCCAGCAGCCGCGGUAAUACGGAGGGUCCAAGCGUUAUCCGGAAUCAUUGGGUUUAAAGGGUCCGUAGGCGGGUUUAUAAGUCAGUGGUGAAAGCCCAUCGCUCAACGAUGGAACGGCCAUUGAUACUGUAGAUCUUGAAUUAUUAGGAAGUAACUAGAAUAUGUAGUGUAGCGGUGAAAUGCUUAGAGAUUACAUGGAAUACCGAUUGCGAAGGCAGGUUACUACUAAUGGAUUGACGCUGAUGGACGAAAGCGUGGGUAGCGAACAGGAUUAGAUACCCCGGUAGUCC